AGACACUGCAUAUUGUAGACUUAACUGAACCUAAUGGGAGUCAUUGUGCAGGGAGACAGUUCAAACCGAUUUCCCCCUGAGAGUCUCCAAAUAACAGACAGCAUCAUGGUGAGAUGUGACCCAUGAGUGAAAUGAAAUGGCCAAUAGCUGACAGAGCAAGCUCAGUUUACUUCUGGAGCGAACUAGAAAACAGCAGCUCGUGAAGAUCUCUGGGAUUCACCGCAACACUCUGCAACUCCUCACCAACAGGCCACAGUCAGUCAGGAUAGGAGGAAAAACAUCAAGCCCCGUCCCACUCAGGAUGGCUCACCUCAGGGCCGCGUUCUCAGGAGAAGGUGGAGCAGCUGGCUGUGUGGUGCAGCGACAACAAUCUCUCCCUCAAUCUAGAAAAGACCAAAGAGAUUGUAGUGGACUUCCGGAGAGCUGCCAUGGUGCACCACCCACAACCACUGCUCAUCAACUGCAAAGCUGUGGAGAGAGUGAGCAGCACAAAGUUCCUGUGGGUCCACAUCACAGAGGACCUUAAGUGGUCCACCAACACCACUGCACUCACCAAAAAGGCCCAGUAGAGACUGUACUUCCUAAGGUGGCUUAGAAGUCAACCUCCCUCCUCCAUCAUGACAACAUUCUCAAAUGGCACCUUCUUUUAAUUGCACUUUUUUAAUACACUUUUUAUUCAUUUUAGAGCACAGCAUAUUUUAACCUCAACACGUUCACUUUUUUGUAGCUUCGAGUAGCUGUCUAAUGCCUUGUCUUGUUUGAUGUCUUUUUAAUUUAUUGUAUUUUAUGUCUGAUGUGUGGGGCACAUUAUAUUUCGCCUCCAUGUAUGCUAAUGCAUGUACUUGGAAGUGACAAUAAACUGAU